GCAGGUAUCGUAUAAUGGCAGUACAUGACCUUCCCAAGGUUAGAGCGCGGGUUCGAUUCCCGCUACCUGCU
rnacentral:tRNA from 1 species